AGAGUUUGAUCCUGGCUCAGGAUAAACGCUGGCGGCGUGCCUUACGCAUGCAAGUCGAACGGUGUCCUUCGGGGCACAGUGGCGGACGGGUGAGUAACACGUACGUAACCUGCCGCGCGGUGGGGGAUACCGGUCCGAAAGGGCCGCUAAUACCGCAUACGUUCGUCCCGCAAGGGGCGAGGAAAGGGCUUCGGCCCGCGCCGGGUGAGGGGCGUGCGGCCGAUUAGCUAGUUGGUGGGGUAUAGGGCCUACCCAGGGCCAAUUAAUUCCGGUUAACCUGGGGCCUGAAGAAGGCCCGAAGCCAGCCCACCACCUGGGGGAACUGGAAGAACACCGGGCCCCCAGAACCUCCCUACCGGGGGAGGGCAGCCAGCCGAAGGGAAAUUUUGCGCAAUGGGCGAAAGCCUGACGCAGCAACGCCGCGUGGGUGAGGAAGGCCU
rnacentral:rRNA from 1 species